rnacentral:rRNA from 1 species
CCAAUAGCGUAUAUUAAAGUUGUUGCAGUUAAAAAGCUCGUAGUUGAAUUUCGGGAUUAGCAGGUCGGUCGUGCCACUGGUACGUACUGGUCUUGCUGAUUCCUCCCUCUUGACGAGCCGUAAUGCCAUUAAUUUGGUGUUGCGGGGAAUCAGGACUGUUACUUUGAAAAAAUUAGAGUGUUUAAAGCAGGCAUGCGCUUGAAUACAUUAGCAUGGAAUAAUGAAAUAGGACGUUCGAUCUUAUUUUGUUGGUUUCUAGGAUUGACGUAAUGAUUAAUAGGGAUAGUUGGGGGCAUUAGUAUUCAAUUGUCAGAGGUGAAAUUCUUGGAUUUAUUGAAGACUAACUACUGCGAAAGCAUUUGCCAAGGAUGUUUUCAUUAAUCAAGAACGAAAGUUAGGGGAUCGAAGACGAUCAGAUACCGUCGUAGUCUUAACCAUAAACUAUGCCGACUAGGGAUCGGAUGAUGUUAAUUUUUUAAUGACUCAUUCGGCGCCUUACG